GCGUAGCAUUUCUCUCACCUCCUGUCUUCUGGCAUCCAGGCCUAGCAAGCUGACAAAGCAACUGAUCUGCAACAGGAAAUCGAUAAAAACAGCCAAGCCAGCAAACAGAGAGAAAGUCCUCACUGCAGGCAUGUUGGACAGGGCUCCUGCAGAAGAACAAGUCAACAGUAUUAUCAGCAUGUGACACAUCAUGGCACUUUUGGCGGAAAGAAGAAGGCCACUGUCUCAGAGAAGGAGGAGAGGAACAUGCUGGGGGCGAUGUCACCAAGAAUACGAC